GACGAACCGUGCGAACGUUAUUCGGAAUCACUGGGCUUAAAGCGCGUGCAGGCGGCCCGGCACGUCGGCUGCUGAAAGCCCCCGGCUCAACCGGGGAACGGGCACCGAAACGACCGGGCUGGAGGGGGGUAGGGGGAUCGGGAACUCACGGUGGAGCGGUGAAAUGCGUUGAGAUCGUGAGGAACGCCCGCGGCGAAAGCGCGGUCCUGGGCCCCACCUGACGCUGAGACGCGAAAGCCAGGGGAGCGAACGGG
rnacentral:rRNA from 1 species